rnacentral:rRNA from 1 species
UACAGGGGGUGCAAACGUUGCUCGGAAUCAUUGGGCGUAAAGCGCACGUAGGCGGUCUGCUAUGUCGGAUGUGAAAGCCCUUGGCUUAACUGAGGAAGUGCAUCCGAAACUGGCAGGCUAGAGUACUAAAGAGGGUCGCGGAAUUCCCGGUGUAGAGGUGAAAUUCGUAGAUAUCGGGAGGAACACCGGUGGCGAAGGCGGUUCUCUGGGCCUGACCUGACGCUGAGGAGCGAAAGCGUGGGGAGCGAACAGG